CUGGAGAACACCACACACCCCCGGUGUUGCCAAGCGCUGCAAUCCAGAGGGACAUUCCAUGGAACCCAGCCCUGCCAGCCCAGCACCUGCACAGUCAGAGUGACAGAUUUGCAGAUUGCAACUGCAGGAGAAGUUCCGCCUCUCCAAACACACACUCCAGCCUGCAUUAAUGAACGGGGACUUCACAACUCUGCGAGGAGCAAACCCUCCACUGCCUCCCUUCUACAAUCAGAUACGAUUGUUCCCUUCAUGCUUCCCGAUUUAUUUUCCUCCCCGGCUAAGAGCAGCGUAGUCGAAAUCACCAUAACAAUCCCCCAAAUCACCCUUCCUGCAUCUCGAUACACAGAGCACUGCUACAUAUUUAUAAAUAUUACUACAUGCCUUCCGACAGAAGCACCGAUACAAACUUACAUAACGUAACAGUUCAACAAAAAGCCGAAGUAAGAAAUGUAUCAUUCGCACAGAACAAGCUCUUGGGGCAGUUUCCCAGCAGUGGAAGACUACAGCUCUUGUUCCAGAUUCUUAAAAGGCAGCUAAAAACAAUCUCUUCCGUUCUAUCAGAAGAACAUAUGCACCCACCUCCAAUUCUGGCAGAGCUCUGCGGCGGGGAGGGGGCACCCACCACAACCCUUCCACACAUACUACCCCCAAAGUUGCAUCACAAGGUUUUAACUCCACCACACCACGCGCGGAACAAGUCCCUCCUCCCCUCCGACAUUAUCCCUGGAGCCCUGGAAGGCUCCCGAUCCAGCAGCCCUCUCGAUCACUCAGCUGCUGCCCAGCCAGAAGGGAUAAUGUUCCUGUUCGUGCCAGGUAAA